rnacentral:tRNA from 1 species
UUAUUCAACUACAGGAACCUUA